rnacentral:rRNA from 1 species
UACGUAGGGGGCAAGCGUUGUCCGGAAUCAUUGGGCGUAAAGAGCGUGUAGGCGGCCCGAUAAGUCCGCCGUGAAAGUCCAGGGCUCAACCCUGGAAUGCCGGUGGAAACUGUCGGGCUGGAGUCCGGAAGAGGCGAGUGGAAUUCCUGGUGUAGCGGUGAAAUGCGCAGAUAUCAGGAGGAACACCAAUGGCGAAGGCAGCUCGCUGGAACGGUACUGACGCUGGAGGCGCGGAAAGCGUGGGGAGCGAACAGG